GCUGGAACAUCCUGAGAGGGGUUAAUGAGCUGCUGCCCUUUAUGUUCUGCUGCUGGUAGACACCAGAGUACACAGAGUUCCUUUGGAGAGCGGCAGGAGAGGCUCCAGGAAGCGACAGUGCAGCCUAAGUGAUGACAAGGGGAGCAGCUGGAGCAUCUUCCUUCUGAGGAAAGGCUGUGGGACCUGGGGCUGCUUAGUCUGGAGAAGAGCAGGCUGAGGGGGAGCUCAUCAUACAGAUAUCUCAACGAGUCCCAGUUUUCCUGUGUCAGUUGUGGAGGACACUGCUCAUGGUGGUGAUGAACAAGUGCCAGCCUUGGACUCCUGGCUAGAAGAAGUGCAAGAUCAUAUGUCAGGCCAAUGCUGCCCUCCAGUGCCCAAACACGCCAUCCUUUGGAAAACGGCUCCUGGGAACAUCUAGCAGCUCUCUACCUCAUGGCUGGCAUGCAUCCGUUUGAACCUGCUUCUUAGGCUUCCCAGUGGUGGCCCAACCUAGCUGAAACCAACAGGGGCAUUUCAGCU